GUCUGUUGUGUGGGCAUGAAAAGUUGGGCCUAAUCGUUAUGCUUGUCUUGAGCUUAAGACAGACAUGGAUGCUGGAAGUUCAACCCCUUGCCUCCACUCGAGUGGAUUUGGUUCCAUUCUUGCUUCCGCUUGAGCGGAUGUGGAAAGCUCACUUUUUUGCUGACUUUCUGCAACUUUCUAUUUAAUUCAGAUUUCACUUGGGACUUGACCUGUGUUCCUCCAAAGGUUCAAUUAGGUUUCAAAGAGUACCAAAUUAAAUCAAUUCAUCCACAAAGGCUUGUUCAAUCCACAAGUACACAAUAAAAUAUUAAUUAGUCAAGUAACAUAGGAAAAUGGACUAAAAGCAUUUCGGCACCUGUCAAUGAUCCUCCAUUCUGAAAUAUCUUCAUAGAAUACUAGAGUUCUAAGUUAGAACCAGAGCAUUUCUCACUGUUGCUUGUUUGAAAUAUGGAACAUGCUUUUGUUGUGUCAUGCUGACUUCCUUUCUGUACACAUGUGUCUCGACAUGUGUAUUCUGUAAUGGGGUUUGGAACAAUUGUGAUGCAUGCAGCGGGUCCAAUAAGCUGCAUGAUUUUCAUGCUGUUUUGAAUUUUCCGAUGUAGUAGGUGCUGGCCCUCAUUUCUUUUGCUUGGGGAGGGGUAUUAUCAACUCAAUUUCUAAAGAAGCAAAUUACUAUUGACACCAUUGAGCUGUCUAGUUGUCCUUCAUUGCUAGCAUCUUCAGAUUUGAAAACACUGUACAUGCUGAUUCUAUUAUAUAUUACCUUAAGCAAAUCUGGUAUUGUAAAUUUUUUUCUAGCUGGAAUUGAUUCAGUAAUAUUUAUAUUAGAUUCAAGUUGCUGCAUGAGGAAUGCAUUGAAUUUAAUAAGCUUGGACUUCGGGAUAAUGUUGCCCAGAUAUGUGUGUUGGAGUCGUUGAAUAAGAACGAUAAUAAAGAUAUGCCAUUGAGAUUCAAGGAACUUCAUCAGAAAGGAUAUUGUGGAUAUAUUCAAUCAUUCUCAUGAAAGGCUCCUUUGAAAGAAGUUUGUUUCACUUUCAUAGCAUUGAUUCUAAAGAAAAGAGGUAUUAUAGAAUUGAAGGACUCCACACCUAUUAGUUUGGUCGGUUGUGCUUUGUAAGUUUUUUUGUAUAAGUGCUAGCAUUACGAUUGAAACAGGUUGUGGGUAAGGUUGUUUUUGAGACCUAUAAUGCUUUUGUGAGAGGGAGGCAUAUCCUUGAUGCGAUUUUUGUGGUCAAUGAGGUGAUGGAUUUUAUAUUGAAAUGUUAUAUUUAUAUAGUGCUUAAAUUAUUGCUUUUGCA